UUUCUGUGUCUGCAGCCCCGGGGUGGGAGGUCGGAGUCUAGGUCUAGGGGGGGAGGCGGAAAGCUAAUAGAAAAGCAGAGGAGGAUUUGGUUGUGGUUGUGGUGUAGCUAGCUGUCGCUCCUUCCUCUUCGUUGGGGUGGGGGCGGGGGCCGACGGCGGCGGCGUCGGCGGCUGCCAGGCCACCGGGUGGUAGAGGAGGCGCCGGUGGUGGUGGUAGUUGGUCGGUACAAGCCGCGAUCGUUAGGUAAACCCGUCAGCAGGCGGUCGGGAAAGCCCGUCUGGAGUUGGUUGGGGAAGCCCUGGGUUGUCCCGAAACCGGUCGGGUCGUGGUGGUGGUUGUUAGGGAAGCGCGGGUUUGGGAAGCCGUCGGGCUGGGGGCGUAAGCCCCGCGGUUGUCCCUGGUGGAGCGGGAAGCCGCGAUGGAGGUGGAAACCGGUCGGUAGGCGAGGCCGGAAACCGCGGUGCAGGUGACCGCGGAAACCGGUCGUCAGACGGGGCCGGAAACCGCGAUGCAGGUGACCGCGGAAGCCGGUCGUUAGGUGGGGACGCAAACCGAGAUGUAGGUGACCGCGGAAGCCGGUCGUUGGGCGCAAACCACGAUGUAGCUGGCCGCGGAAACCGGUCGGUAGGUGUGGACGUAAACCGUGGGGCAGGAGGAGAGGCAAACCCUCGAGGUGCGGUCGAAAACCAUGUAGCGGUCGGGGGCGCAAACCGCGGUGUAGGAGAUUGUUGAAACCGCCACCUAGAAAUAAGCCUGUUUUCGGUUCGAAACCACCCAAACCUAGUAGAGGAUCGGUCAGAUCAGGUAAACCAUCGUGUAAAGUCGUUUGUGUCGGUUGUAAACCGUUGUCGUGAAAACCGUGGUGUUGAUGCGGCCGGAAACCAUGGUGUUGUUGAGGUCGUAAACCGAGGUGUUGCUGAGGUCGUAAACCGAGUUGUAGUUGUAGGAAUAAACCACCACGAAGGUCGUGGGGUCGUAAACCAAGCUGCGGGAAACCAAGGUGGUGUUGAGGACCAAAACCUAGAAGUCGACGUUGACCAUCGUCGGAGAAGCCUUGUUGAAGUGGGAAACCUCGUGUUUGAAGAGGUAAACCGAGCGUUUGUCGACGUGGUCGUAAGCCCGUUUGAUGCAAACCUUCAGUUAGACCUCCUUGGUCUUAUGUCGGAAUACAUGUUUGUGGACUACGACUGUGACGACGUUCACCAAGAGUCGGACGACGUUUUGAACUAAGGUAUAGUCGGUACGGACGUAUGUUUCUCUUCUCAGUACUUCUUAACUCCACCCUUCUAAUGGUCGCACCCCUGUUUCCACCUGGUUUGAGAAGACGUUGAGGUCGUCACUUGUUGAAGAAUAGAGGUGUCGGUUCAAAGGUUGGUUUAGUUGGUCGUGGUCACUUAGGUAAAUGAUUGGGGAGUGGGAGUGGAAAAAGCUCACGAAAACGAUGAUGAGGCUUGGGCAAAAGUAGCAGGUGUUGAUGAUGGAGGAGCAAACCUGUUUGUUCACCAAGAUGGAAGGGUCGUUUGUGAAGUAGAAGAGAUAAACCUUUAUUAAGGUGAUGAAGUGAUAAGUUGUUGGGUUUAGGAAAGUUACGACCCAGUAGGUGAUCAUUAUCGUGAGUUAGUAGACCCGACAAAUGCAGAAGGGGAUGUUACCCCGUCGUCGGUAAACCGGUGAGUAAAUUGGUCGUUAGUUCGUGAGGUCGAAAGAGGUGGUCAUACAAGUUAUGUAGAUUGUAGCCUUAGUGACCUCCACCUCCCUACAAACCGUUGUGCAGAAGUGGAAAAGUUUGUAGUAGUAAAGUUGUUAGAUGGGGACAAGUUGGAUGUUUGAGCAAGAGUAAGGUUGGAGUCUGAGUUGGUCGAAACUGUCCACCUAAGAGACCACAAAGGUUGGGCUACUUAUACCGAGGUAAGCCUGUCGUUUGAUGAUCGGUCAGGUUAUACCAUUACGUCGGCUGAGAACAAAGUUUAGGGAAACCCUGGGAAGGUCGUUACGGAGUCUACAGGUAACCCUUACCACCUAGGAGUGGAAGAUAGGUUAUACCCUAUAGUUCAAACGGCCAACGACUCUUCGGGGAAGGCUCGUCUUGUAAUAGUUACCACCAAGGAUCCGUAAACAGUGUCUCCUCCUAUUUCGACGACGGUGCUUUUAUAUUACGUUGUAGACUACCGUUCCAAGGUAAGAAACGACUACUACUUCUUAGGGGACAUUGUGGUUUUCGCCUACGGAAAAAGUAGGGAUCUCUCUUGGGUUCUUCAGACUAUUAGGCAGGUUGUCUGGUCACCGGAAGUGCAUCAAACCAACCGGUUGUUAGUUAAGGUUCCCUAAGUUGACUAUUACUGUUUGUAUUUCUACGAAAACAACCCUCCCUCGUGUUAUUCCGACGGUACUGUGGUUGAGCCAGACCAUGUCACCCCUUACCAUAGGUGUAACGUAGUUCGCUCGGACCCCGACACCGAGCCGUACACUUACCACGAUGACAACUCUUCUACCACGGAUCCGAGAGGGUCCGUCUAAUGAAGUACCUCGGGUCAGAUCUCCUCGAACGACGGUUUCUUGCACGACUCGGUCCGAUGACAUCAGUCCAACAUCUGAAGUAACAACCCGCACUUCCAAUACCGUCGUAGUUUAAGAACCCUCUUUGACUACACUCCCCGGAACUAGACCUCAGCUAACACCUUAAGUUAUUGGCACUUCACUAACACAUGUUCCUGCUAUCGUUCUUCGGGGGUCAACCGCUCCCGGACUUGUUUCGACGAAACCACUGGGAGGACUUGUAGUUCACGUACUUAUUCUUCUGCCCACUCGUCAUGUGCGUUCCCGGUUCCAACCUGUUCAAGUUCCUCUACAACCACUUCUUCCGACUCCUCGUCCCUCACCUCAAAUAGAGCAAACUGCCACGGUUCCCGCUCACCUUCAAGUCCCACUUCGUGAAGUCGAGGAUGCCAAAACCACUUCGGCUUCGGCUGCUGGACCGGCUAAGGAACAUCGAAACAGCUAACAAAAGAAAACCUACUUGCCACCUGUGAGCUAAGGUACAUCGAGACCAGCUACAUCGACCAGACCCUCUUAUAAGCAACACUACGAAAAGAAGAGACUUACGACGAUACUCAAGGAAGGGUACAAGAAGACAUGUAUAGGAAAAAGAACGUCUUACGUGUUCUUAAUGUAAGACCGUGGUUAGAUCGUGCACGCACCUAACCUAUUACUUGACUGUAGACAUGUUUAGACCAGCUACUUAUUAGAACAAUGGCAGGACCUACCUUACGCAGGAAAAGAA
rnacentral:rRNA from 1 species